rnacentral:lncRNA from 1 species
ACGGGGUGAUGUUGUGGUUGAGGAACUUGGUGAUGGCCUCGAGGAUCUCAAAACGGAUGCCGGAGUAGCCCUGGAGGAGGGUGUUGACCCGGACGAGCAUGGCGGCUCGGGUGGAGGAUUGAGGCAGGGUGUGGCACGACUCCGUGCCAUUGCCGAAGAUCCCGGCAUUCAAGAACCUGUUCCAGAUUCACAAGCUUUCCAUUAGACAAGGACCUCUCCUAGUUCUUGCUGAGUAAAGUAUUUUGCAGUUCAAAGGUCUCGCUCAAAGUUCUGUUUAGAGUAGUAAUCAAGCGACUCUUUUUCAUUUCAAUUGCAACCGUGUGAACUGAAAUGCAGGAGAGAAGACAAACGAGGAUAGGCUGAAUAGGACCGCUAACAGAUUUUUCUAAGUCAGAUUUCAAUUAUUCAACUUUUUGUCUCGACUCGCUAGGUACGACGAUAGCCAUAGAGAUGAAAUUAUAACACACACUGACUUGUAAAAUAAAUAUAAGAUAUUAAAUUUUGAAAAAAAAAUUCUACAUAGGUAUUUUAAAUACAUGAUGCACGUUGGAAUAUCCGUUUAAACCUAGUUUAUCCUUAUCUUUCUGCCAACCCAUUAGGAAAAAGGUGCCAUCCGCAUCUACUAAACAUGAUGGACGUGUUUAUUAUGCUAAUUUAUCAAAUAUAAAUGGAGUAAAUCAAGUUUUAACAAUAAUAUUGAUAAGUAUAAUAGCUAUUGGUCCUCAUAAUUAACAUGUAUAUCACCUAGACAUCGACAGGUACUAUAGUUAAGGAUGAGCCUAAUUAUGAUGUCCAAUCUAUCCUUUUAAUUGGAAGUCAUGAGUUGAUGAAACCGAUGAAUCUCUACAAUGAAAAGAUAUAUAUUCUGUAAAACAAAAAUAGAGCAUGUACCGACAAUUUAUCCAAUUAGUUGAGCUAUCAAAAAAGUCCAACCAACCCGAAUCAAAAUGUUUUGGGUUUUUUUUGGGUUUGGAUCUAUUUCAGUUUUGGCAAUAGCUUUGAAAUUCAAGUAUUGCUAUUGUCUCAAUUUGGGUCCGGUCAGGUUUCGAAAUCGAACUGAAAAUAUAUAUAUUAUGUUCCCUCCAAGCAGCAAAGUAAUUCCAAUCGGAGCAUUAAAUCAAACCAAUUUGGUGGCGACAUCAUUCAGUGUCCUGCCCCCAUCUAAAGUUGUGGCCACUUGUAGUCCUCACAAUCACAUCUCAACAAGGCCUAAUAAAUAUGACACCUUUUGUCACAUGACUAUGACCAUAGUUGUUCCUACCCAACCACUAAAUGAUCCCAAUUUGCAUAACAAAGCAAGUUAUUUUCAUCGUUAUUAUUAGUCCUCACUCUGAAUUAUCCGGUGCCCUUUUGUCAUUAUCCAGAAAUUAGUAUAAAAAAAAAAAACGAAAAGAGUUGACGAAAUUUAAGUUCCCGAUUAAAAUAAAAUGGAGAAAUAAUUAAUCAUAAUAAAUAAAUAAAAUUACUUCUCACCAAGAACAAGAAUACUCAUCAGUAAGUGACUUCACAUGAUAUAUACUUAUGAAAAAUAUAUCAUGCAAAUUCAUCGAAGCUUAUUACGGUAUUAAAUUUUGAAAAAAAGAAAUCACAAAUUUCAUAAAAAUUAAAAUAAAGAAGCAAAGAAAGAAUGAAAAAGGGCCAGCUAAGCUUUAAUGACCCUUCACCGAUUUGUGAAGAAACCGGUGAAGUGGAUCACUCAAAAACCCACCUACCACCUCCUUUUACGUACUUACCACCUUUUAAAUAUUACAGAUAUAGAUCACAAGCCAAUCAUCUGUUAGACCUAUGAUUGGUAUUAUGGCCGAAAUGGAGUGAUUUAACAAUCGUUAACGUAGUGCAAAGUUUACCUUAUAAGUUCCUUCUGCAAAGCACCGCCUUGCUUCGUCCUCCGGUGAGAAGUGGCGCCGAACCCGGUGGUGACGCCGUAGCUGUCAGUUCCCUUGUUCAUGCUCUCCAUGACCCAGUCGCUGCUGGCCUUGACCCUGGGACGGGCCGCCUCCGAGAGCUCGACCCCUACCCCCUCCUGACUCGCCACCGCCGCCACCUGGGCUAUCGUGAGGGACUCCCCGCCGAGGCGCACCGCCGGCCUCCGGUACUCCUCGACCAUCCGCUUCACCUCGUCGAGGUGGCUCCCUGUGAGGGCUGCUGCCGCCGCCCCCCAGUUCAGUGGGUCAGCAUGGUGGCUCCCGGCGGCGCAGAGGCUGUGAAGGCCGUUGCCGGUGCCGGUGGUGCUCUCCAUCUCCAUUCAGCACUAGAACGUGUGUACGUUAACGAUAGCGGAUCCGGGUCCGAUACAAGAGGUCGUAUGCUAAUAAUGUACGAGGAGAGAUGAGCGAACGAAGGAAGACAACUGGAGG